GACGAACCGUGCGAACGUUGUUCGGAUUCACUGGGCGUAAAGGGUGCGCAGGCGGCCGUGUGUGUGAGGCGUGAAAGCCCGGGGCUCAACCCCGGAAUUGCACCUCAAACUACAUGGCUAGAGCAUUGGAGAGGGAAGCGGAAUUCACGGUGUAGCAGUGAAAUGCGUAGAUAUCGUGAGGAACACCAGAGGCGAAGGCGGCUUCCUGGACAAUUGCUGACGCUCAGGCACGAAAGCGUGGGGAGCAAAAGGG
rnacentral:rRNA from 1 species